rnacentral:misc_RNA from 1 species
GGAUGGAUCAUUAACACCUAUUCACAAUCGUGACUUUUUGCCGUCGCCUGUCGCCGCGUUUUCUAACGCGGUUGACGGCGGCGACAAAAAAAACCAACGUAGAACUUGUUCAAGUCUCUUUUUCACAUUCGUGUGAAACGCACCAAACGCUGGACCGUGGUGUGCGCAAUGCAUGUGCGUUCGCGCGCCGUGUCUUUCUGCUACCCACGAACCCAGCGGAUCAAUCAUUCUAAAUUGAACUGUGGUGCCUUCUUUCUAUCGCCUGCAGCGCAAAAAAGGUUUUUCUUUUUUUGCGCCGUCGGAGAAAGGAAGACUGUUACACCAACAAUCAAAACAAAAUGAACCAAAAGCACAACUUUUGACAAUGGAUAUCUUGGCUCACGCACCGAUGAAGAGCGCAGCGAAAUGCGAUACGUAAUGUGAAUUGCAGAUGUCUGUGAAUCAUCAAGAUCUUGAACGCAAGUUGCGCCGCCUACAGCGGCAUGUCUGUUCGAGUUAUGGUAACAACAAAACUUCCUCUUGCACGCGCGUGCGCGUGCAGCAGGAGAAAUGACGGUUCGCCGCUUUCCACUCGCGCACCCGUUUUUCCUCGUUGCCUUUGUGCUGCGACGAAAAAUGUGGCGCCGCGAUGGUGUGGUGAUCCGUUGAAUUGCAUGUGAUCGAGCGACCUUGAGUCACGCACGUCAACGAGAAGAAGGGAGGAGAGCAAUCUCCUCCCUUUCUCGGCAGGCGGUGUCGUCGUUCCAACGUCAAGCUAAGUGUAUACUCUUGCACCUAUUCUGACGCUUGGGCUGGCAUCUGCUCUGUUCUGGCAUGCACUCUGCGCACGGUCAUUCCACCUUUUCUUUUUUGAAAAGACAAGCUUCGGCUUGUGUUUUUUACAAAAUCAUACUCGAAUCAGGCAAGACUACCCGGUGAACUUAAGCAUAUUACUAACCGGAGGAAAAGAAACUAACUAGGAUACCCUUAGUAAGGGCGACUGAAGUGGGUAGAGCUCAGGUUUAAAAUCUGCCAGGCUCCCUGGCCGAAUUGUAGUCUUGAGAACGGCAUCCUGAGAGCAGGCUGGGAGAAGUCCUUUGGAACAAGGCGCCAGAGAGGGUGAGAGCCCCGUAAACCGCCCAGCUGGAAGCUUUCUUACGUUUGCUGUUCAUAGAGUCGGGUUGUUUGGGAAUGCAGCCUUAAAUGGGUGGUAAAUUCCAUCUAAAGCUAAAUAUUGGCGUGAGACCGAUAGCGAACAAGUACCGUGAGGGACAGAUGAAAAGAACUUUGAAAAGAGGGUUAAACCAGUGCUUGAAAUUGUCAAAAGGGAAGGGGUUGGCUCCAGUAUUGAAGCGCGUCCGUUUCAAGCUUGCAGGCGAUACACGGGCCCGUCCGGGAGGUGCUGCCAAGUAUCAUCGGGCGGAGAACGCGUGUUGCCUGUGGGUGGUAUUACUGGCGCGUUUCGGUCAGCAUGGGUUGGUGCCUCGCGCGCGGGAGAAGGGCGGUCGGAAGGUAGGUUGCCUGCGGGUGACUGUUAAGACGGCCGUCAGGAUACCGUGCGCCCGACUCAGGGAAAGGAAGCGUGUGCCACGGCUGGGCUCCGUGGGUGCACGGCGGGUCGCGGGGUGGGAGACUGGUACAGUGUCUUGCUCCGCGGUCUGUCGGCAUGCGCCCACGUUCCACAUGCACGCUCUAGAUGCUGUCAAAAUGGAGUCAACUCUCCCGUCUUGAAACACGGACCAAGGAGUCUAACAUAUGUGCGAGUGUUAAGGUGGCAAACCUUAGCGCGGAAUGAAAGUGAAGGCGGACUCGGUCCGCCGAGGUGGGAUGCGAACAGCUGCACCAUCGACCGAUCUGGAUAUUUUUUGAAAGAUUUGAGUAAGAGCAUGUAUUUUAGGACCCGAAAGAGGGUGAACUAUGCCUGUAUAGGGUGAAGCCAGAGGAAACUCUGGUGGAGGCUCGUAGCGAUACUGACGUGCAAAUCGUUCGUCAAAUAUAGGUAUAGGGGCGAAAGACUAAUCGAACUCUCUAGUAGCUGGUUCCCUC